GCUGGAGCACCUCCCGUAUGAAGACAGGCUGAGAGAGUUGGGGCUGUUCAGCCUGGACAAGAGAAGGCUGCGUGGAGACCUCAUAGCAGUCUUCCAGUAUCUGAAGGGGGUCUAUAAGGAUGCUGGGGAGGGACUCUUCCUUAGGGACUGUAGUGGUAGGACAAGGGGUAAUGGGUUCAAACUUAAACAAGGGAGAUUUAGAUUAGAUAUAAGGAAGAAGUUCUUUACAGUGAGGGUGGUGAAGCACUGGAAUGGGUUGCCCAGGGAGAUUCUGGAUGCUCCGUCCCUGGCAGUGUUCAAGGCCAGGUUGGACAGAGCCUUGGACCACAUGGUUUAGGGCAAGGUGUCCCUGCCCAUGGCAGGUGGGUUGGAACUAGAUGAUCUUAAGGUCCUUUCCAACCCUUACUAUUCUAUGAUUCUAUGAUUCUAUGACUUGUAAUUGCUUCCAAACAGCACUGGAUUCAGGUCUGUACACUUCAAACAAGAGUUUCUUGAAGAUCAUAUAUCAUAUCAUAUAUUAGGUCUUCCACCAAAUUUGCCUCAUCUUGUUGAUGCCUUUCCUGUAUUGGAGGGUGGGGAGCAAAACUUUAUGCAGUAUUCUAAAUGUGAUCUAACAAGUAUUGUGUUGAGAGGAUGAUAAUUUCUCUCAAUCUACUGGAUAUACUCCUGUUCAUACAGCCCAGCAUGUUUUUGGUCAUCUUUGCGUCCAGACCACACUGCAGUCUCAUGCAGUUCACUGUUCACAGAAACCUGCAGGGAGUUUUCCACGGAGCUCCACCCUAGCCAGUGUAUUCCCAGCCUGUGUGGUUGCCCUGGCCUUUUCCUUCCUAAGGGGAGGACUUGGCAGCUGUCCCUGUUGAAUUUUUUGUAGUUCCUGUUGGUCCUUUCUUCCAGCCUGCCUAGUUAACUCUGAAAUGCAAGGUGUCCCUGCCCAUGGCAGGGGGGUUGGAACUAGAUGAUCUUAAGGUCCUUUCCAACCCUUACUAUUUUAUGAUUCUAUGAUCCUAUGAAUGGCAGCCCUACUCUUGAGGGUUCUCCCAACUUAGUCUAAUCUUCAAAACUGAUCAGGAUGAACUCUACCACCUCCUUCAGGUCACUGGUAAAAUUGUUAAAUAGAGCAGGUCCUAGUUUACAUGUCUGCAUUACUCCCCUUAUUACAAGCCUCUAGGUGGACUAGAAGUAGACGACCAAUUAAGCACUAUCCUCUAAGCCCAGC
rnacentral:lncRNA from 1 species